rnacentral:rRNA from 1 species
AUUGAACGCUGGCGGCAGGCCUAACACAUGCAAGUCGAACGAGUGGCGGACGGGUGCCUAAUUUCUGGGCAUCUGCCCUAUGGUGGGGGAUCACUACUGGUAACGGUAGCUAAUACCGCAUUCCAUCGCCUGUGUCCAGAUGGGAUUAGCUUGUAGGUGGGGUAACGGCUCACCUAGGCGACGAUCCCUAGCUGGUCUGAGAGGAUGACCAGCCACACUGGAACUGAGACACGGUCCAGACUCCUACGGGAGGCAGCAGUGGGGAAUAUUGCACAAUGGGCGAAAGCCUGAUGCAGCCAUGCCGCGUGUAUGAAGAAGGCCUUCGGGUUGUAAAGUACUUUCAGCGAGGAGGCGUUACUCGCAGAAGAAGCACCGGCUAACUCCGUGCCAGCAGCCGCGGUAAUUC